rnacentral:rRNA from 1 species
GACGAACGCUGGCGGCGUGCUUAACACAUGCAAGUCGAGCGGUAAGGCCCUUUCGGGGGUACACGAGCGGCGAACGGGUGAGUAACACGUGGGUGACCUGCCCUCAGCUCUGGGAUAAGCCUGGGAAACCGGGUCUAAUACCGGAUAUGACUCCAUGACGCAUGUUGUGGGGUGGAAAGCCUUGUGCGGCUGAGGAUGGGCCCGCGGCCUAUCAGCUUGUUGGUGGGGUGAUGGCCUACCAAGGCGACGACGGGUAGCCGGCCUGAGAGGCGACCGGCCACACUGGGACUGAGACACGGCCCAGACUCCUACGGGAGGCAGCAGUGGGGAAUCUUGCGCAAUGGGCGAAAGCCUGACGCAGCGACGCCGCGUGAGGGAUGACGGCCUGGUGUAA